rnacentral:lncRNA from 1 species
GAGUUUCUGUGAUGCUAGAAUCUGGACUGCCUGCGACCUCUCCGGGACUCGGACACCAGCCCUCGCCUCCUGGUGAUCUUUUAGGUCCUGCAGAGAAGUGAAGAGAUCUCGCUCUGUCACCCAGGCUGGAGUGAAAUGGCACAAUCUUGGCUCACUGUAACCUCCGCCCCCAGGUUCGACUGAUUCUCGUGCCUCAGCCUCCUCAGUAGCUGGGAUUACAGGAUGGAGAGUAAAGGAGGUAAAGGAGGACUCUGAUGCCUCAGCCAUGCGCCUGUGUGCCGAUUCCCAUUAAGCCUGCACCAAUUUGAUUUCCAAGACUCCAGUCAAUCCUCAGAGCUCCAGGAGGGGAGGGGCAGCUUUUCCUGGUAGCUGCUGAUCACCAGCAGAGGGAGCCCUAGGACUGCAGGGCCUCUUUCCUUACCGUUGGUGAAGCCCUUCACUGUGGCUUCAAAACUGUGGAAGACCCGGGAUUUGUGGAUCACUUGCCUUUAGAAUAGAAUCAAGAAAUAAAGCUGCAGAAGAAAGAAUCUCCAUGUGAUGAGCCCCAGAGAGGCGAAGCCACUUGAGCUCGUGAGUGACAGUCAGAUGUCAAGCCCUGCUCUUUCUAAAGCGUGCUGCCUUCAGAAAAGAAGAGCCAGAAGGAUGGAAAUUACUUCAGAAAGAUGAAUACCAGCUUUGAAGGAAUAAAAGCUGAC